AUUGAACGCUGGCGGCAGGCCUAACACAUGCAAGUCGAACGAGCGGCGGACGGGUGAGUAAUGUAUGGGGAACUGCCCGAUGGAGGGGGAUAACUACUGGAAACGGUAGCUAAUACCGCAUACCAUCAGAUGUGCCCAGAUGGGAUUAGCUUGUUGGUGGGGUAAAGGCUCACCAAGGCGACGAUCCCUAGCUGGUCUGAGAGGAUGACCAGCCAAACUGGGACUGAGACACGGUCCAGACUCCUACGGGAGGCAGCAGUGGGGAAUAUUGCACAAUGGGCGCAAGCCUGAUGCAGCCAUGCCGCGUGUAUGAAGAAGGCCUUCGGGUUGUAAAGUACUUUCAGCGGGGAGGCGUUACCCGCAGAAGAAGCACCGGCUAACUCCGUGCCAGCAGCCGCGGUAAUAC
rnacentral:rRNA from 1 species